rnacentral:rRNA from 1 species
AACGAACGCUGGCGGCAGGCUUAACACAUGCAAGUCGAGCGCAUCCUUAGGGGUGAGCGGCAGACGGGUGAGUAACGCGUGGGAACGUACCCUUUCCUACGGACUAGCUCCGGGAAACUGGAAUUAAUACCGUAUACGCCCUUAGGGGGCAAGAUUUAUCGGGGAAGGAUCGGCCCGCGUUGGAUUAGCUAGUUGGUGGGGGAAAGGCCUACCAAGGCGACGAUCCAUAGCUGGUCUGAGAGGAUGAUCAGCCACAUUGGGACUGAGACACGGACCAAACUCCGACGGGAGGCAGCAGUGGGGAAUAUUGGGCAAUGGGCGCAAGCCUGCUCCAGCCAUGCCGCGUGAGUGAUGAAGGCCUUAGGGUUGUAAAGCUCUUUCAGUAGGGAAGAUAAUGACGGUACCUACAGAAGAAGCCCCGGCUAUCUUCGUGCCAGCCGCCGCAGUAA